rnacentral:ribozyme from 1 species
CAUUUUUCAGUUCGUUUCUUGUUUUUGGCGUUGGUUUUUUGUGUGUUUUUUUGUAUUGCUGAUGAUUAUGAUGAUAAGAUUAAUGGAUGAUAAGAUGAAUGGAUGACCGCGUCCAUAUUCCAGAAAAGAAAUGAACCCGAAACGGAAAGUUGUUCUUGAGAUGUUUUGGUCGUCUUUAGAAUACGUAAGUGGAAAAA